GACGAACGCUGGCGGCGUGCUUAACACAUGCAAGUCGAACGGAAAGGCCUGCUUUCCCUUGUGGAUUGCGGGUACUCGAGUGGCGAACGGGUGGGUAACACGUGAGUGAUCUGCCCCCAACUUGGGUAUAAGCCUGGGAAACUGGGUCUAAUUCCCGAUAGGACUGCAGGGUGGUGCCUGUGGUGGAAAACGAUUUUCUAGUGGUUGGGGAUGAGCUCGCGGCCUAUCAGCUUGUUGGUGGGGUAAUGGCCUACCAAGGCGGCGACGGGUAGCCGGCCUGAGAGGGUGGACGGCCACAUUGGGACUGAGAUACGGCCCAGACUCCUACGGGAGGCAGCAGUGGGGAAUAUUGCACAAUGGGCGGAAGCCUGAUGCAGCGACGCCGCGUGGGGGAUGACGGCCUUCGGGUUGUAAACUCCUUUCGACCGCGAGGAAGCCACCUGGUUGGAAGGGUGGUGACGGUAGUGGUAGAAGAAGCACCGGCUAACUACGUG
rnacentral:rRNA from 1 species